UACGAAGGGGGCAAGCGUUGUUCGGAAUUACUGGGCGUAAAGCGUGCGCAGGCGGUUUGUUAAGCCAGAUGUGAAAGCCCCGGGCUCAACCUGGGAACUGCGUUUGGUACUGGCAAGCUAGAGUACGGCAGAGGGGGGUGGAAUUCCACGUGUAGCAGUGAAAUGCGUAGAGAUGUGGAGGAACACCGAUGGCGAAGGCAGCCCCCUGGGAUGAUACUGACGCUCAUGCACGAAAGCGUGGGGAGCAAACAGG
rnacentral:rRNA from 1 species